CCUACGGGGGGCAGCAGUGAGGAAUAUUGGUCAAUGGGCGAGAGCCUGAACCAGCCAAGUCGCGUGAGGGAGUACUGCCCUAUGGGUUGUAAACCUCUUUUGUCGGGGAGCAAAAGCCGGACGUGUCCGGCUGUGAGAGUACCCGAAGAAAAAGCAUCGGCUAACUCCGUGCCAGCAGCCGCGGUAAUACGGAGGAUGCGAGCGUUAUCCGGAUUUAUUGGGUUAAAAGGGUGCGCAGGCGGAUUUUUAAGUCAGCGGUAAAAUCGUGGGGCUCAACCCCAUCCAGCCGUUGAAACUGGGGAUCUAGAGUGUGCGAGAGGUAUGCGGAAUGCGUGGUGUAGCGGUGAAAUGCAUAGAUAUCACGCAGAACCCCGAUUGCGAAGGCAGCAUACCGGUGCACAACUGACGCUCAGGCACGAAAGCGUGGGUAUCGAACAGGAUUAGAUACCCUUGUAGUC
rnacentral:rRNA from 1 species